rnacentral:sRNA from 1 species
AGAAAUUCGGGCCCAUCUACAGGCUCCACCUUGGGCUUCAAGGUGAGAGGCUAAUCUCGCUCUGGCCCUCACCACAGGAGGGGCGGAGGUGGCGGACAGGGUCCUCUCUCUGCUGACGCUGCUUUGGCUCUCCCCCAGAUGUGGUGGUGCUGAACUCCAAAAGGACCAUUGAGGAAGCCAUGGUCAAAAAGUGGGCAGACUUUGCUGGCAGACCUGAGCCACUUACCUGAACUACCCAGACCUGUCCUUGGGAGACUACUCCCUGCUCUGGAAAGCCCACAAGAAGCUCACCCGCUCAGCCCUGCUGCUGGGCAUCCGUGACUCCAUGGAGCCAGUGGUGGAGCAGCUGACCCAAGAGUUCUGCGAGCGCAUGAGAGCCCAGGCCGGCACCCCUGUGGCCAUUGAGGAGGAAUUCUCUCUCCUCACCUGUAGCAUCAUCUGUUACCUCACCUUCGGAGACAAGAUCAAGGAGGACAACUUAAUGCCUGCCUAUUACAAAUGUAUCCAGGAGGUGUUAAAAACCUGGAGCCACUGGUCCAUCCAAAUUGUGGAUGUGAUUCCCUUUCUCAGGUUCUUCCC